UACGUAGGGUGCGAGCGUUAAUCGGAAUUACUGGGCGUAAAGCGUGCGCAGGCGGUUCGUUAUGUCCGAUGUGAAAGCCCCGAGCUCAACUUGGGAAUGGCAUUGGAAACUGGCGGGCUGGAGUGUGGCAGAGGGGGGUGGAAUUCCCGGUGUAGCAGUGAAAUGCGUAGAGAUCGGGAGGAACAUCUGUGGCGAAGGCGGCCAUCUGGACCAGCACUGACACUGAGGCACGAAAGCGUGGGGAGCAAACAGG
rnacentral:rRNA from 1 species